GUGUUCACCUUGGCGGCACAUAUACUAAAAUUGGAACGAAACAGAGAAGGUUAAGAUGGCCCCCGUGCAAGAAUAUGAUAGAAAGUGGACAAGCAGAGAUGAGAAGCAUGGUUUC
ensembl:snRNA U6 U6 spliceosomal RNA